rnacentral:rRNA from 1 species
UAUGUGAUCGUCUCUCGCAUAUCAAUAAGCGGAGGAAAAGAAACUAACAAGGAUUCCCCUAGUAACGGCGAGUGAAGCGGGAAGAGCUCAAAUUUGAAAUCUUAAAGGGUUUCCCUUUACGAAUUGUAGUUUAAAGAAGUGUUUUCUGUUGAGGUUUUGGUAAAAGUUUUUUGGAAUAGGACAUCAUAGAGGGUGAGAAUCCCGUAUUUGACCUUUACUUUCAACUUUGUGAUACACUUUCAAAGAGUCGGAUUGUUUGGGAAUGCAGUCCAAAAUGGGUGGUAAAUUUCAUCUAAAGCUAAAUAUUGGCGAGAGACCGAUAGCGAACAAGUACCGUGAGGGAAAGAUGAAAAGAACUUUGAAAAGAGAGUUAAACAGUACGUGAAAUUGUCAAAAGGGAAGCGUUUGACACCAGUGUUGUUUUUCUGAAAAUCAAUUAAAGAACUGUUUAUGCUAAGCUGUUUAGACUUUAUCAGCUAACUGUUUAGUUUUGAGCUUUUCUUUAAUGCACUUUUCAGUUAACAAGUCAACAUCAAUUUCUUUUGCUGUAAAAAAGCUUGAGGAAGGUGGCUUGAGAUUCGUCUUAAGUGUUUAUAGCCUCUUGCCUAUGCAGUCGGAGAGAUUGAGGUCUGCAGCGUAGAUCCUUCGGGGCUAAAUGCAUUUGUGCUAAGUUAUAGCAUUUUAUAGACAACUUGUUGACUAUGAUUUGUCUUGUAGCUUACUCGCUUAUGUUAUUUUACCUACGCUUAGGAUGUUGAUAUCGCGCUCUCACUG